rnacentral:rRNA from 1 species
CGACGUCGUCCAGAACGAGUUUCGGAUCCGUGGACUCACGGACGAACGGCUCGGCGGCACGCUAACACAUGCAAGUCGAACGGAGUGAAGAUGCUCGCAUCUGAACUUAGUGGCGGACGGGUGAGUAACACGUGAGCAACCUGCCUUUCAGAGGGGGAUAACGUUUGGAAACGAACGCUAAUACCGCAUAAAUAUCGGAGUCGCAUGGCACUGAUAGUCAAAGGAGUAAUCCGCUGAAAGAUGGGCUCGCGUCCGAUUAGGCAGUUGGCGGGGUAACGGCCCACCAAACCGACAAUCGGUAGCCGGACUGAGAGGUUGAACGGCCACAUUGGGACUGAGACACGGCCCAGACUCCUACGGGAGGCAGCAUGGGGGAUAUUGCACAAUGGGGGAAACCCUGAUGCAGCGAUGCCGCGUGAAUGAAGACGGCCUUCGGGUUGUAAAGUUCUGUCGCAGGGGACGAAAAUGACGGUACCCUGCAAGAAAGCUCCGGCUAACUACGUG